rnacentral:rRNA from 1 species
CGUACCUUUUGUAUAAUGGGUCAGCGACUUAUAUUCUGUAGCAAGGUUAACCGUAUAGGGGAGCCGGAGGGAAACCGAGUCUUAAUUGGGCGUUAAGUUGCAGGGUAUAGACCCGAAACCCGGUGAUCUAGCCAUGGGCAGGUUGAAGGUUGGGUAACACUAACUGGAGGACCGAACCGACUAAUGUUGAAAAAUUAGCGGAUGACCUGUGGCUGGGGGUGAAAGGCCAAUCAAACCGGGAGAUAGCUGGUUCUCCCCGAAAGCUAUUUAGGUAGCGCCUCGUGAAUUCAUCUCCGGGGGUAGAGCACUGUUUCGGCUAGGGGGCCAUCCCGGCUUACCAACCCGAUGCAAACUGCGAAUACCGGAGAAUGUUAUCACGGGAGACACACGGCGGGUGCUAACGUCCGUCGUGAAGAGGGAAACAACCCAGACCGCCAGCUAAGGUCCCAAAGUCAUGGUUAAGUGGGAAACGAUGUGGGAAGGCCCAGACAGCCAGGAUGUUGGCUUAGAAGCAGCCAUCAUUUAAAGAAAGCGUAAUAGCUCACUGGUCGAGUCGGCCUGCGCGGAAGAUGUAACGGGGCUAAACCAUGCACCGAAGCUGCGGCAGCGAACGUAUCACCCAAGACAACUUUACGGAGUUGACGAUUGACGGAGCGAAGCGACGUCAAAGCGUUCAUUAAAGUCGAGUUGGCUUAGGGAUACGUUCGUUGGGUAGGGGAGCGUUCUGUAAGCCUGUGAAGGUGUGUCGUGAGGCAUGCUGGAGGUAUCAGAAGUGCGAAUGCUGACAUAAGUAACGAUAAAGCGGGUGAAAAGCCCGCUCGCCGGAAGACCAAGGGUUCCUGUCCAACGUUAAUCGGGGCAGGGUGAGUCGACCCCUAAGGCGAGGCCGAAAGGCGUAGUCGAUGGGAAACGGGUUAAUAUUCCCGUACUUGGUGUUACUGCGAAGGGGGGACGGAGAAGGCUAUGUUGGCCGGGCGACGGUUGUCCCGGUUUAAGCGUGUAGGUGUGUGUUCCAGGUAAAUCCGGUUCACUUUAACACUGAGGCGUGACGACGAGGCACUACGGUGCUGAAGCAACAAAUGCCCUGCUUCCAGGAAAAGCCUCUAAGCAUCAGGUAACACGAAAUCGUACCCCAAACCGACACAGGUGGUCAGGUAGAGAAUACCAAGGCGCUUGAGAGAACUCGGGUGAAGGAACUAGGCAAAAUGGUGCCGUAACUUCGGGAGAAGGCACGCUGACACGUAGGUGAAGUGAUUUACUCAUGGAGCUGAAGUCAGUCGAAGAUACCAGCUGGCUGCAACUGUUUAUUAAAAACACAGCACUGUGCAAACACGAAAGUGGACGUAUACGGUGUGACGCCUGCCCGGUGCCGGAAGGUUAAUUGAUGGGGUCAGCGCAAGCGAAGCUCCUGAUCGAAGCCCCGGUAAACGGCGGCCGUAACUAUAACGGUCCUAAGGUAGCGAAAUUCCUUGUCGGGUAAGUUCCGACCUGCACGAAUGGCGUAAUGAUGGCCAGGCUGUCUCCACCCGAGACUCAGUGAAAUUGAACUCGCUGUGAAGAUGCAGUGUACCCGCGGCAAGACGGAAAGACCCCGUGAACCUUUACUAUAGCUUGACACUGAACAUUGAGCCUUGAUGUGUAGGAUAGGUGGGAGGCUUUGAAGUGUGGACGCCAGUCUGCAUGGAGCCGACCUUGAAAUACCACCCUUUAAUGUUUGAUGUUCUAACGUGGACCCGUAAUCCGGGUUGCGGACAGUGUCUGGUGGGUAGUUUGACUGGGGCGGUCUCCUCCUAAAGAGUAACGGAGGAGCACGAAGGUUGGCUAAUCCUGGUCGGACAUCAGGAGGUUAGUGCAAUGGCAUAAGCCAGCUUGACUGCGAGCGUGACGGCGCGAGCAGGUGCGAAAGCAGGUCAUAGUGAUCCGGUGGUUCUGAAUGGAAGGGCCAUCGCUCAACGGAUAAAAGGUACUCCGGGGAUAACAGGCUGAUACCGCCCAAGAGUUCAUAUCGACGGCGGUGUUUGGCACCUCGAUGUCGGCUCAUCACAUCCUGGGGCUGAAGUAGGUCCCAAGGGUAUGGCUGUUCGCCAUUUAAAGUGGUACGCGAGCUGGGUUUAGAACGUCGUGAGACAGUUCGGUCCCUAUCUGCCGUGGGCGCUGGAGAACUGAGGGGGGCUGCUCCUAGUACGAGAGGACCGGAGUGGACGCAUCACUGGUGUUCGGGUUGUCAUGCCAAUGGCACUGCCCGGUAGCUAAAUGCGGAAGAGAUAAGUGCUGAAAGCAUCUAAGCACGAAACUUGCCCCGAGAUGAGUUCUCCCUGAGACUUAGAGUCUCCUGAAGGAACGUUGAAGACGACGACGUUGAUAGGCCGGGUGUGUAAGCGCAGCGAUGCGUUGAGCUAACCGGUACUAAUGAACCGUGAGGCUUAACCUUACA